UGAGGUAUAGUGUAAUUGGUUAUCACGCCACCCUCAUAAGGUGGAAAAGCAGGGUUCAAAUCCCGCUACCUCGACCA
rnacentral:tRNA from 1 species